rnacentral:rRNA from 1 species
UACGAAGGGGGCUAGCGUUGCUCGGAAUCACUGGGCGUAAAGCGCACGUAGGCGGCUUUCUAAGUCAGGGGUGAAAUCCUGGAGCUCAACUCCAGAACUGCCUUUGAUACUGGAGUGCUUGAGUCCGGGAGAGGUGAGUGGAACUCCGAGUGUCGAGGUGAAAUUCGUAGAUAUUCGCAAGAACACCAGUGGCGAAGGCGGCUCACUGGCCCGGUACUGACGCUGAGGCACGAAAGCGUGGGGAGCAAACAGGG